rnacentral:rRNA from 1 species
GUGACCUCAAAUCAGGUAGGACUACCCGCUGAACUUGAGCAUAUCAAUAAGCGGAGGAAAAGAAACUAACAAGGAUUCCCCUAGUAACUGCGAGUGAAGCGGGAAAAGCUCAAAUUUAAAAUCUGGCGGCCUUUUUGCUGUCCGAGUUGUAAUCUAGAGAAGUGUUAUCCACGCUGGACCGUGUACAAGUCUCCUGGAAUGGAGCAUCAUAGAGGGUGAGAAUCCCGUCUUUGACAUGGACUACCAGGGCUUUGUGAUGCGCUCUCAAAGAGUCGAGUUGUUUGGGAAUGCAGCUCAAAAUG